rnacentral:rRNA from 1 species
UACGGGGGGGCAAGCGUUGUUCGGAAUUACUGGGCGUAAAGGGCUCGUAGGCGGCCAACUAAGUCAGACGUGAAAUCCCUCGGCUUAACCGGGGAACUGCGUCUGAUACUGGAUGGCUUGAGGUUGGGAGAGGGAUGCGGAAUUCCAGGUGUAGCGGUGAAAUGCGUAGAUAUCUGGAGGAACACCGGUGGCGAAGGCGGCAUCCUGGACCAAUUCUGACGCUGAGGAGC